GAUGAACGCUGGCGGCGUGCCUAACACAUGCAAGUCGAACGAAGCAAUUAAAGGAAGUUUUCGGAUGGAAUUUGAUUGACUGAGUGGCGGACGGGUGAGUAACGCGUGGAUAACCUGCCUCACACUGGGGGAUAACAGUUAGAAAUGACUGCUAAUACCGCAUAAGCGCACAGUACCGCAUGGUACGGUGUGAAAAACUCCGGUGGUGUGAGAUGGAUCCGCGUCGGAUUAGGUAGUUGGUGAGGCAGAGGCUCACCAAGCCGACGAUCCAUAGCCGACCUGAGAGGGUGAACGGCCACAUUGGGACUGAGACACGGCCCAA
rnacentral:rRNA from 1 species